rnacentral:rRNA from 1 species
CCUACGGGUGGCUGCAGUGGGGAAUAUUGGACAAUGGGCGAAAGCCUGAUCCAGCCAUGCCGCGUGUGUGAAGAAGGCCUUCGGGUUGUAAAGCACUUUCAGUGGGGAAGAAAGCCUUGGGGCUAAUACCCUCGAGGAAGGACAUCACCCACAGAAGAAGCACCGGCUAACUCCGUGCCAGCAGCCGCGGUAAUACGGAGGGUGCGAGCGUUAAUCGGAAUUACUGGGCGUAAAGCGCGCGUAGGCGGUCUGAUAAGCCGGUUGUGAAAGCCCCGGGCUCAACCUGGGAACAGCAUCCGGAACUGUCAGGCUAGAGUGCAGGAGAGGAAGGUAGAAUUCCCGGUGUAGCGGUGAAAUGCGUAGAGAUCGGGAGGAAUACCAGUGGCGAAGGCGGCCUUCUGGACUGACACUGACGCUGAGGUGCGAAAGCGUGGGUAGCAAACAGGAUUAGAUACCCGAGUAGUC